rnacentral:rRNA from 1 species
CUACGGGAGGCAGCAGUAGGGAAUAUUGGUAAUGGGCGAAAGCCUGAACCAGCAACGCCGCGUGAACGAUGAAGGCCUUCGGGUUGUAAAGUUCUUUUUGGAGGGAUGAGGAAGGACAGUACCUCCAGAAUAAGUCUCGGCUAACUACGUGCCAGCAGCCGCGGUAACACGUAGGAGACUAGCGUUAUCCGGAUUUACUGGGCGUAUAGCGCGUGCAGGCGGCUCGGAUAGUUGGAUGUGAAAGCUCCUGGCUUAACUGGGAGAGGUCGUUCAAUACUUCCGAGCUAGAGGAUGGGAGAGGGAGGUGGAAUUCCGGGUGUAGUGGUGAAAUGCGUAGAUAUCCGGAGGAACACCAGUGGCGAAAGCGGCCUCCUGGCCCAUAUCUGACGCUCAUACGCGAAAGCUAGGGUAGCAAACGGGAUUAGAUACCCCGGUAGG